GCCCUUCCCUCACCGGGCGUGCGCACUUAUAUUCCUCAGUGCCGGCGCAAGCCGGCUAUGGCGAUAAACGGGCCUCAUAAUAAACCUUUCGGACCCGGGGGCAGUACCCGGCGCCUCCACCAAAGUCCGCCGUGAAAAACGGGCUUUGGCGGGGGCGAAACAGGAUCGACGAGGGCGUAAAAGUUGUUCUUUCGCUCGGCAUGGUACCGCCGAUAUCGGGCCAAUCGUAUAGUUGCCAACGACAACUAUGCUCCGGUUGCUCAGGCCGCGUAAGCGGUUUGAAAGACCAAGCCUAAAGCCCUGAUGGGUUAAGCUCCGUCAGGCGGGGUUCGGAGGCACCUGGCAACAGAAGCCUCCACU
rnacentral:tmRNA from 1 species